GAGUUCUACUAUCCUGCAAGGAUAUUAAGAGACUAAAAUUGAGAAAGAAACCUUCGUUAACAACGAAACACAAAGGAGAACGUUUACGUUUUGCAAAAGAAAGAAUGAAUUGGAAAAAGAAAUGGAGAAGGGUACUAUUUUCAGAUGAAAAAUAUUCAACUUGGAUGAUCCUGAUAUACAGCAACACGUUUAAUAGUCCUCCUCAUUUGUUUCUCGCCGUGCAUUACACAUUUUUUCUGUAUGAUGUUAUAUGUAUUACAUUUUUCCCCUUUCAUAUUCGUGGUAUAGGUUUUAAAUUAGGUUGUCCGAAAAGUUUCUUUCGUUUUAUGAGGAAAUAAU
rnacentral:misc_RNA from 1 species